GGGCGCCAAAUUGGCCAAAGGCUGGAAGGAAUUGUAUGGUGUUUUUAACAAGAUUCAAAGUAAUGCACUGUAUCUCAGAAACACACAUAUUUUCACACCCCACAGUUAUCAUGUUUUUGCUGUUGUAGCAUUUUUCCAUAAUAGAUUUGUUCAGACUUUCUUUUGAAUGUUUACAAUAGUUUUUUUCUGGGAAUUCAUACCCGUUUUAAGAUAUUAUUCUAAAUUUUUCCCAAUUUAAUCUUAAAAAAUAAUAAAUAAAAAUAGGAAGCUUUGUGUACAUUUUCAAAAAAUCACAAUUUCUGUAGAAGUUUUAUUAAAUCCAUCAGCAUUCUCACUAUGUCUCAAGUUAUCUUCCAAAUAUAUUUUCAACCAAAUCAGCCAUUUCAAAAAAUCUUGAGCAUUGCAUUUUAAAACUUGAUCUCAACAAUAAAUAUGGUUCCUGUGAAAAUCUAGCUGUAUGGCUACAAGUUGUUUGUCUUAGUUAUGUUUUUUAAAUAAUUUAUUGGCUAUUCUAAGCGUUCUUUCCAUAGUCCGCGCCGCCCCGAACCCCGAAUCAACAUAAGUUGAUGAAAGUUAAGGUUGAUAAGAUAGAUUUUGUUAUUAGAGCAACUAAUUCGAAAAACAGCCCCUACCAAUCUCAAUUGCUUUUGCAAUUAACUACUACCUGUGGUACGCACAGAACUGAAUGAACUUUUCACGGAAAUAUAAGAAUGGAUCAUGUGAGGCUUCUUAGAGGACUCCAGGAUAGUUAUAAACUUUAGGAAGUAUGCUGUUAAAAAAGCUAUUGAAGUUGUGUUGAAAAGUUGGAAGAAAUAAACAGAUGAAUGUCUAAAUAUCUCAAAAAAUAUAACGUUUAAAAUACAACAAACUAAAUACAAUG